GGACGAACGCUGGCGGCGUGCUUAACACAUGCAAGUCGAACGAGAAUCUGCGGAAAGAGGAUUCGUCCAAUUGAAGCAGAGGACAGUGGCGGACGGGUGAGUAACGCGUGAGGAACCUGCCUUUCAGAGGGGGACAACAGUUGGAAACGACUGCUAAUACCGCAUGACACAUCGGAGUCGCAUGGCUCUGAUGUCAAAGAUUUAUCGCUGAAAGAUGGCCUCGCGUCUGAUUAGCUAGUUGGUGAGGUAACGGCCCACCAAGGCGACGAUCAGUAGCCGGACUGAGAGGUUGAACGGCCACAUUGGGACUGAGAUACGGCCCAGACUCCUACGGGAGGCAGCAGUGGGGAAUAUUGGGCAAUGGGCGCAAGCCUGACCCAGCAACGCCGCGUGAAGGAAGAAGGCUUUCGGGUUGUAAACUUCUUUUGUCAGGGACGAGUAGAAGACGGUACCUGACGAAUAAGCCACGGCUAACUACGUG
rnacentral:rRNA from 1 species